rnacentral:miRNA from 1 species
CAACAGAAAUUUAUUUUCUCAUAGUUCAGGAGGCUAGAAGUCCAAGAUCAACGUGUUGGCAGGUUUGGUUUCUCCUGAGGCCUGUGUUUUCUGUCUUGCAGAUGGCCUCCUUCUCGCUGUGUCUGCACAUGGUCUUUU